UACGGAGGAUGCAAGCGUUAUCCGGAAUGAUUGGGCGUAAAGCGUCCGCAGGUGGCUAUGUAAGUCUGCUGUUAAAGAGUGAGGCUCAACCUCAUAAGAGCAGUGGAAACUACAUGGCUAGAGUGCGUUCGGGGCAGAGGGAAUUCCCGGUGUAGCGGUGAAAUGCGCAGAUAUCGGGAAGAACACCCGUGGCGAAGGCGGCUCUCUGGAACGCAACUGACGCUGAGACGCGAAAGCGUGGGGAGCAAACAGG
rnacentral:rRNA from 1 species